rnacentral:rRNA from 1 species
CAGCAGCCGCGUUAAAACAGAGGGUGCGAGCGUUAAUCGGAUUUACUGGGCGUAAAGCGUGCGUAGGCGGCUUCUUAAGUCGGAUGUGAAAUCCCUGAGCUUAACUUAGGAAUUGCAUUCGAUACUGGGAAGCUAGAGUAUGGGAGAGGAUGGUAGAAUUCCAGGUGUAGCGGUGAAAUGCGUAGAGAUCUGGAGGAAUACCGAUGGCGAAGGCAGCCAUCUGGCCUAAUACUGACGCUGAGGUACGAAAGCAUGGGGAGCAAACAGGAUUAGAUACCCCCGUAGUCCCUGUCUCUUAUAC